AUCCACACAGUAAUGAAGCAAGGUUCUCUCCUGGUGUUGACACAUCAGAUUUUAAAAUGAAUUUGAGACUGCCAUGUCAAUAAAUGAAAAAACUGAGAACCCAAUCAAAAUAUUUUGUCUCUCCACAUCACUUUUGUCUUUUGCACCGAAGGGUUCUGCGCUCUCUCUCUCUCUCUUCCUCUUUCGAUUUGAUCGAUAUCUCUCUUCCUCUUUCGCUUUUAAAUUGAACGGGGAUGUGGAACAAGACAACAAGACAAAGGCUGAAGAAGUUCAGACCCAAUCAAGGAUCUUCACGACUCUCUUCUCCGGCGAGGUGACCGAAGGGUUCUGAUUUUUGGGGGAAUCGAAAUACUAUAAUGGGUUUGACGAAUUUCAUACUGACAGUGACCGGAGUAGGCGCCGUGGUAGUGCUAUUGAAGGGCGACGUCAAGCAAUCUGCCACCGUAUUGAGGCGUAACGUCAAGCAUAUCCGCAACUGGCUCGAAGAAGAAACUUCCGCCACCUCCAAGGAAGAUUCCAAAAGACAAGAAUUAGUGUCUUGUGCUUUUCUGUAUACAUAAACAGAGUUUAUUUUUUUGGAUUUAUGACUUUGGUGUGCGUAAGAGGAGUGUGUUGAGGCCGGCAAAAGUUCCAUCUUUUCAAGUCUCUUCUCCGCUAACAACCCUUUCCGGCGAAAGACGCCUAUGCCCGAAACCAACAAACCUAAUAUUGUUUGAAUGCUUGGUGUUGACGAACCUAAUAUUGUUUGAAGUCUCUCGAAAUAUUGUACCUGAAGAGAGUCUGGUGGAGGUUGUACCAGAGAGUCACAAGAAGUUCUUGGCCAACAUGGUUUGGGUUCAGGAAGAGAUGAAGUAGCCGUCACAUACUUCGUCAAACUGUCCAACAACGCAUUCAUCACCAACCUCAAUUUGAGAGAGCAGCAUUUUAUAACCACGUUUGCAGAUUGCAAAGAGAGGAAGCGAAGAUAGCAGUUUGGAACAAAAUGCACAAGGUUUGGGACACUUGUGAGGAUGAAAGUAGAACCUGCUAUUAGAAAACUUGGGGUCCUCCUUCACUUAUAUGAAAACUCCCGUAAACCAAUCAAACCAUGAUAAUUCUACUGAAUUGUUUUUUUGCUUGAAUCACAUGUGAAGCUGGAGAAGAAGAAAUGACCAUUACUGGAUAAGAUCUUGUACAAGCUUCAAACAACCAAGUCGAGAGGUCAGGUGGAGUUCAGUAUUCAGUGAUCAUCAACGAGAACAAAAGUUUUGACUAUAGAUGCCUGCAAUAAAACAGUAGCACAAACCGUAAUCUUCUUUCCAUGCUUGUGUAUAUAAUUUUAAAAUGUUUAUCUAUAUAUACCAAUAUAUAUCGUUGUUAUGAUCUGUUUCACGCUGUUGAAAAAACUUUCGAAUCAGCUGUUCUUGCCGCAAAGAAUCAAAACCACCAAAGGUCUUCAGGGUAAGGAUGUGCAAGGUUUGGGAGCUUCACAGGUGAAAGCAUCAACGGAGAGAAAGCUUUUUAUAUUUCUCCUGUAUCUUUUAUCACAAUGCUUAAAACUGUAUAGCAGAUUCUGUUUUCUUCCAUCUCCAUAGCUACAGCCCAAAAAGUUGAGAAAUGAGAUUCAUGACUUAGUGAUUGGUGUCACGGAAGUUAUUGUUAACAAACACAAAGAAGAAUUACUAUUUUUAAAACAAUAUAAAAUGUAAAAGUAAAACCAAAGUUAGGAGUGCAUUGUUUUACCAAAUAUGCAUGACUUCAAAUAUAUAUACAUAUUCAUCAUUUUUUUUGUUAUAGUUUAUUAUUUCAUUGCUAACAAAAUAAAUUUUAUAAGCUUAGUAACAUUUUCUAGAAUUGUAACUUCUCAAAAUGUAGAAAUAUUUGAAUAUUCGUUUUAAUGAUAUAUAUAUAUAUAUAUAUCAUUUUCUCAAAUCUGUAAAAUACAAUAUUUCAACAAUAUUUAUUAAUUUUAUAAUAUUUAAAAAUAUAAGUAUAAUAAUGAUUUUAACAAACCUUCCUCCGCGACCAACCUUCCUCCGCGACCAACUUUCCUCCAUGGCGUCAAGUCCUUGAUUCAGCUACUUUGCUCCACCACAGAUCUUCAUGCUUAGGCCGUUCAGCUCUCCGUCGUGCUCUCAGAACUGGUCUGUCCGCUCCGAGCUCGCGGUGGAGCAAUCAGUCGAAAGCUCUAAUGGUGACUUCUUCGGUUUUUGCACAAUCGAUCCCUAAACUUCUGAUUCCUUACAAAACUGCCUAAGCCUUUGUAAUUUGCAGACACAUCCCUAAUUUCGCCCCUUAACUUUAUAAUGUGCAAUUUAACCCAAUCGAGUGUUCUGAAUUUGCAGCCUUGGUCCCUGAACUUUUGAUAUCUUCGUUUAUGACCCUUGACUUCCUAAGUUGCAGAAAUGACCUUGAGAAUUGACCCAAAACUUACAAUUGUACACUCCAAACCCUAAUUCACUAAAUGAACAAAUAUAUGCAAUUAGGGAUGUUAAUACGGGCGGCCCGGGCCCGUUUAGGCCCUGCUCGUAUAGUACCCGCCCGUUUAAAGCCCGUCAAGGUCUCACCUGUUUAAAGCCCGUCAACGUCCCUCCCGUUUAGCCGUGUGCCCUUUUAUAAUUCCAAACAAAACAGAAAGGCCAAACAUUUACAUCCCAGAGAGAGAGAGAGAGAGAGAGAGAGAGAGAGAGAGGUUUCUUAGUGAAGAAAACGAUUAAUGGAUUCAAAUUCAUCGACACAGAGAGGAGAGAAAUUUGACGGCAACAAUUCAAGUUUUGAGAUAAAGAAGAAAACCUAACAUAAUACGACGUAGUUUCACAUAAUCUGAAAGAAAAAAAAAUUAACGGGCACCCUUUUAUUUCGCGGUUAAGCCCGUUUAGUAAAUAUUCUUAAGGGGCGGCCCGCGAUGAACCCGUUACAACAUUUUUAUAUAACUAAACGGGUACGGGUUCCGCCCGUUUAAUACCAGCCCGUUAUGCCCGCGGGCCUCGAGCCCGUUUAAACAUCCCUAUAUGCAAUGUAGACACCUAAAUACAAUCUAAAGUGAUUUAAAUGAACGAAAUGACAUGCUAAAAAUUAUUAAAUACACUAUAUCAAUAGACUAACCAAAAACUAAUGUAUUUCAAGACUAUUCAAAUCUGCAAAAAAAGUCUAUUUAUUCUAAAAGAUCAGAAAUGAGAAUGGUGAUUUGGCUAGGGAUAUUUGCGCGAUGAACUCAUAUGUGCUUGCUGGUAUAAGAUGGUGUAAGAAUAGUAUACAAUAUUUUUUUUUAGGUGCUCAAUUUGGAACUAUAUUAUCUAAAUCUCUGUUUGCUGCUUUAUUUUUAGGUCUUACAAAUAAGAAGAUAACAAGAAAUAAACAACACCAAAAAAAAUUCACCAAACAAUUAGUACAUCGAAUGGAAAGUAGGUGAAAAGUAGGCUUUAUCCAGUCAAUUGCUUAUUGAAGCAGGUUCGAGGCUAAGCCAAAUUGUGUGUUUAGGGUAAGAAAAAACAUUGUUCUUGAUAGUGGUGGUGUCAAUGGUUCUGAUUCUUAGACAGAGAUUAUAUUUAUUUUUAAAAUGUCUGAUGUAAAAUAGUUUUUGAUAACAUAAUAUAAAUGUUUUUUAGAUAAUGAUGAUUAUAAAUAAAUUAAAUUACCUUUAAAUUUAUGAGUAAUCAUAUAUUAACAAAACUUGGCUGAAGUGAUAUCAUUAACCCUGUCUCCAAAAAUGAAAGAGGUGAUAUCAUUAACCCUAUCUCUAUUGCUGAUGCAACGAAACUAAAAUUAGAACUGUUUAAAAUUAAUCUAAGCUUCGUUGAAUUCCGAAGAAUGAAAAUUAGUGUAAAGAAGAAAGCAGAGGAUGCAAAGGAGGGAGAGAUGACAAGACCGUGUAAUCUCUAAUGGAAAAAGGAGCGAAGAUGAUGAAGUGUCAAAAGAGAUGGGUAUGCCUUUUAGGGUUAUCAAGACGGAACAACAUGAUGUUUGUUUAAGACAACUCUAAUGCUUCUGCUCUUUUUUUUCCAAAAACAAAUCUCUAAUGCUUCUGCUUCUUGAGGUAUCUUAGAAAAGCCAUGAAUCUUUCAAGGUUUUUCUUUGUGUGAAUGU